rnacentral:rRNA from 1 species
CACGUAGGGUGCGAGCGUUGUCCGGAAUUACUGGGCGUAAAGCGUGCGCAGGCGGGCUUUUAAGCCAGACGUGAAAUCCCCGGGCUUAACCUGGGAAUGGCGUUUGGGACUGGAAGUCUGGAGUGCGGCAGAGGAGACUGGAAUUCCUGGUGUAGCAGUGAAAUGCGUAGAUAUCAGGAGGAACACCGAUGGCGAAGGCAGGUCUCUGGGCUGACACUGACGCUCAUGCACGAAAGCGUGGGGAGCAAACAGG